rnacentral:lncRNA from 1 species
AACGUUUGCGUUGGUGCAGCCCUCACACCUGGCAUGUCUGGGGGAGGCCGGAGAGUUAAAAGCUUCAAACGCCGCUUGACAAAAGAACAAUGACAUUUAAUACAGCCGGAUGCUACAGGUUUCCUGCACUCCUCGCUCCCAGAAGGCAGCAGUGAAAAUAAAGAGCUUAGUGACGCUCCCUUAGACAUACUGAUCAUUCAUGCAUAAAUCAAAUUCCAAAGUAGCAAAGGCCAGACCAAAACAGAACAUUAUGCAGGAUAAGAAAUGCACCUCUGCAUCUCCUGAUUCAGAAGCUGAAUCCUCACUGGUCCCUCAGGAGGCCAUAACCACCAUCAAAGUUCCAGCCACAGAGACCACGAUGUGCAGAUGGCAUUGCAGGACAUCAAGUGCCCAUCAAAGUCACACUAUCACUCCUCAGCUGGACAGGGGUGGGGAAAUAACAACCAAAGGCACAUUGGUCAAGAUAAAGACAGGGAGAAAUCACUCACAAGUUACAAGUUACCAUCAUAGGGAAAAUGGGCUUGACUGGAAGGAAUUAAUUUGUUACCAAUAAAAUAAUAAGAAAUAAAACCGAAUUAAAAGCACUUUCUCUCUUUCUU